rnacentral:rRNA from 1 species
UACGUAGGGGGCUAGCGUUGUCCGGAAUCAUUGGGCGUAAAGAGCGUGUAGGCGGCUCGGUAAGUCCGCUGUGAAAGUCCAGGGCUCAACCCUGGAAUGCCAGUGGAAACUGUCGAGCUAGAGUCCGGAAGAGGCGAGUGGAAUUCCUGGUGUAGCGGUGAAAUGCGUAGAGAUCGGGAGGAACACCAGUGGCGAAGGCGGACUACCUGGACCAGCACUGACACUGAGGCACGAAAGCGUGGGGAGCAAACAGG